ensembl:snRNA U6 U6 spliceosomal RNA
GUGCUUGCUUUGGCAGCACAUAUACUAAAAUUGGAACAACACAGAGAUUAGUAUGGUCCCUGCGCAAGGAUGACACAGAAAUUCGUGAAGCUUUAAAAAAAAGA